GUUCAAAUUUUCUAUAAAAACGCUCAAACUAAAGUUGAACGGGUAAAUAAUGACAAAUUGCAUUCUGGCACAGAAAUCCAGAACUUCCGCGACCAUCCACUUCUGUUGCAAUUUAGCUCAUUGAAAAUAACGAGCAAUGCCAAUGGAAUCAUUGUUCCGGAAGAAUGAAAACAAAAGGAAUGUGCAGCUAGUUCUUCUGACGAUCAAUGUUGGCCAAUUAUGAACCAUUACAAUUACAAACAUAUGAUCCCACAAAUCGUCCUACGCUACUCUAUUCCUAUCCACUCUCAUCCACCCUACUUGUUAAAGUUUUCUAAAUUCCCGUCUUUAUUAAUAAAUUCAUUUUACCAACAGACAAUGGCAUUUGCCCUAGCAAAUGAUUCUGUUUCAAUUUUUCAAUACAUAUAAACCAUCUAUAAUAAAUUUUAUUUUAAUAAUAUUUAUUUUUUAAAAUUUUAAAAAUUUAAAAUUUAAAUUAAAUUAAUAAAAAAAUACAAAUAUAUCUAUUUUCUUUCUCUAAAAUGGUUUAUUCUCACCACCGUAAUGGGUUGUCAUCAUGUACUGCCGUUGACACUUGCCAGUGCCGCUUUCCUUGUUCUCUUCUCUCUCUUAUCCAUGUACUUCAAUGUAAACGACUCAUUUGCAUUGCAUCCACUCGGUUCGCAAAUAAGAACUUAGUUUCCCACGCCUCAACUUCUUUAAAGGAUAUAUUUGAGUAAUCGCAUGCACCUACAUCGACAUAAACACAGAAUGAAUUGAGAAGGCAAUAACCUCUAUCGCAAAUGAAAAUGUUCAGAGAUGGUUUUAUAUAAAACUAUUUACAUCUUGCCAAUGCCACCACAGUCCGAUGAUUCAAAUUAUCGGAAAUUCAACUCGUGUCCCCACUUACUAUCAAUGGACCCACAGGAAUUUUAGUAUCAAACUGACAUAUGCGUAUUGUGACAAUAACAGUGUACCUAUACAAGUUAAUGGUGCCUCAUAAUCUGGAAAGAGGAAAAAAAAAAGUAUAAGGAGGGGAGAAAAGUGGGGGUAGAGGAGGAGUGGGGUGGUGGGAGUGAUAGGUCACCGUGAACAUUUGAAAGCCAGCUGCUGAGGAAAACUCUUACUGGCACCCGUAAAUGCGGGACUUAACGCAUACAAGAAUAACAGAAUAAAAAUAGUCAGUCCCGUCUCCCCACAGAUCCAUAUUUCAUCUACUCCAAUGGUCCACUUCAAUAGAUACCCAACAUCAGAAUUGCACCAGCAAGGUGCCACCAUCCAUCAAAUCAAGCCGCAAUCAACAGUUAAAAUUUUUCUUUAUUCACAGGUGGAAGACCUCAAAAUUAAAAUAAGGGUCCCAGACUCCCAGUACGUGGAAUAUGCAAGCUUACUCAAAUAGCACUCUCAAAAGAAACCAGGAUUUGUUCAAUAUACUUGGGCUUUGGACACGAAGCAGUUGCAAGGCCUUGAAGCAAUUUCACAACAUCAACGGCAUCAUCGAGAUAAUAUCUAGCCUUGCUUGGCUUCCGCCCAACAGUGCAGGCGAAGAUCUCUGGUGCCAUAGGCAAAGUUGGACCAGAAACUGUGCUUAGUAUACUCUCAAACAUGUCCUCAUCUGAUUUAUCAUCACCAAUGCACAGCACAAAAUCAGGUGGCUUCCCACGAUUAACCAUAUUCGAAAGAACCUUUUCAGCAACAGAUCCUUUACUUAUUCCCUGUGGCUUAACUUCAACAAUAUGUUGGCCGCGCUUAACAACAGCAGGUUCAUUUGCAAGGACAUUUUCAAGAUGAUCCAACAAUUCUUUGGCCUGGCAAGAUCCAAAAUCUGGAUCAGCGUAUUGAUGAUGCCACACCAAGGCACUCUCCUUGGUCUCUAUAUAGGAGCCAUCAGUUGCUUCUGUAUACAAUUUUAUCACAGGUUCUGCAAUUUUUUUCCAAUCAAAAUCUGCCACCAAGGAACUGGUUUCCCAACUGGACAUCCUAUUCCACCUCAUUAAGUAUCCAUGCUCCGCUGCUAUACCAAGAUUCUCACAUUGAACAAACCAUUCACUCAGAGAAUCUUUCCCCCUUCCACUAACUAUAAACACAGUGUUCUUAGGGUCACUACAAAGGUUGUUCAGGACAGAUAUAACUUCAGCACUGGGAGUUUUAACAAUGGAAGUUUGAGGCACCACUGUUCCAUCAUAAUCCAAAAAUAUCGCCCUUCUAUAUGUCCUCUUGUAUGCAGAGACAAUAUGUUCAUUGGAAAGCUUCCUAAAGCUUGGUGAAAGUGACAAAAUCCUAAAAUUCAGCCCAAAACCAAUACCCCAGCAACGUUUACUGUAAUGAUCUUUGCAAGCUCGCUCCAAGUCCUGCAUAAAACUGUAGGCCCAGUAUGCCACAUCAUGGAAGCUGAUAUAUCGAUAGUGCUUCUCAUGCCUCAACUGCUUCUCUAAAUCAGGCAUGGUGAGGGCCAGAUUUAAUGCAUCUGCUACAGCUUCAACAUCCCAUGGGUUUACCCUUAUUGCACCACUUAAAGAUGGCGAGCAACCGAUAAACUCUGAAACAACAAUUGUACUUGAAUGAGGCAAUCGAUAAUCAACUCCCAAAGCUUCAUCCAUUUUAGGAGUCCCCUGCCUACAGACAAUGUACUUGUAUGGGAUCAGGUUCAUUCCAUCCCUCACAGCAUUUACAAUACAACAUUCAGCCAAUGCAUAGUAGGCUGUUUUCUCAUAAAAAGGUACAUGACGAUCAAUCAGGACCACUGGUUCAUAUCCUGGAAAACCAAAAGUCCUGUUUAUCCUUUUGGUAGUCGAGUAUGUCUCCUUUUUUGCUUCUUGUACAUCUUUCCCAGAGCUCCUAGCAGGAUUUACAAUUUGAACCAUGACAACUUUUCCCUGCAACUCAGGAUUCUGCUGCAAAAGUCGUUCCAUGGCUAACAAUUUCAGACUGAUGCCCUUGAAAAUGUCCAUGUCAUCAACCCCAACAAUAAUCUUUUUCCCCUCAAACUGCUUUUGAAUUUCUUUAACCUUGAUGGAAGAAGAGGGGUGAUUUAGAGCAGACUCUAAUCGGCCCAUAUGAACUCCGACAGGCAAAAUUUUGAUGUAUACUGUGCGUCCAAAAUACUCAAGUCCAAUAUGACCACGUUUUGAUUCAUAGUCUAGGCCCAACAUUCGGCUGCAACAGGACAGAAAGUGACGAGCAUAAUCAAAUGUAUGAAAACCAAUUAAAUCUGCAUUCAGCAGUGCUUUUAGAAUUUCAUUUCUGACUGGCAGAGUUCGGUAAAUUUCUGAUGAAGGGAAUGGGCUGUGAAGGAAGAAGCCAAGCUUAACUCGAUAGAAACGCUUCCUCAAGAAAGUAGGGAGCACCAUUAGGUGAUAGUCAUGAACCCAAACAUAAUCUUCUUCAGGAUUGAUCACUUCCAUAACCUUAUCCGCAAAAACUUUAUUAGCAGAGACAUAGGCCUGCCAAAGCAACUUGUCAAAGCGAUCACCAUGAUCAGGGCACAUUGGGAGCAUAUAAUGGAAAAGGGGCCAUAAUUGGUGCUUACAGAAUCCAUGGUAGAACUUUUUGUGAAGAUCAGGAGGAAGAAAUGUGGGUACACAGUUAAAUUCCUCCAACAAUUUCUGGGAAACUUCUUCUUGUUCACUUGUAUCUACAUCAACCUUCAGAGAUCCCACAUAAACAACCUCAGUAUUAAUUGAGAAUCCAUCCUUCAUUUGUAACAAAAGUGAAUCCUCAUCAAAACUGAAUGACCAUUUGCUUGAUUUCAAAUCCUUUUGAGCAUGUAGAGGAAGAAAAUUUGCCACUAUAAUUUUCUUCUUGCGGCAUCCAGACAAUGGAGCAUCUGAAUCUCCAUCAUUACUUCCAUCACCAUCUGUGUCAGAAAAAAUUCCUGGAACAGUCAUCACCCUUGGGAGAGAUCUGGGAGUUUGAGGGAGAUUCAACAUGUCUCCAGAUACUAAGUCCAACAAAUUUAUACAAGAUCUUGACAUCAUUGUUGCCAGCUUUUGUUUUAAUGUUUCUGGGUGUUUAUUUGAAGCUAUGAAGAUAUUGCACAAUCGAUACUUUGCCUUUCUUCCAAACAAGAUCUUGACGAGCUAAUGUAAAGUAUAGAGAUUUAAAUAACUGCACGAAUGGGGGGAAAAACACUUGUGAACUUUGCUAGGGUUCAUGAUGCCACAUCUGCACAACAGGGCAAUUUUUUAGUUUCCCCACAUGCUUAAGCAUAACAUUUGAACAUAAUAUGUGCAGUUCUGCACUAGGAAAUGGAGCCUUCCAACCAUCUCAAGUUAAUAUGCAGGAAUAGCAAUUAGCAAAGAUUCAAAACCAAAACUAAGAUGAAAUGCAAGAGAAGCACAGCUGUUAUUAACAUUGCAUAGAAAUGAUCAGAAAAAAUACAUGCUCGAAAAGAAAAGUCAAGGAAGGCUGUCCUUUGGUUUUUCAAUAAGACUCUCAGAACAAAUGGUUGAAUAAAACCGACUAGGGAUUGGCCAAGUAUUCCAACCCAAUCCCACAAGCAUUCAACUUUAACCAAUCCCCCUCUCAUAAUUAUUGACUUUUCAAUAAUAAACUCAGUUCACUACAAUGAUUAUUUAUCAAAGGAAAUAACGAAGAAAAUUAAAAU
rnacentral:misc_RNA from 1 species